UUUGGCUUGUCCGGAAGAGGUUCCACCUCUGGCUUGGCCUCCUCCUCGACUAGUUUUUCCUCGUACACAGUGGUCACCUCGGUCACCUCGGUUACGAUCUCCUCCUUUAAGAUUGACUCCGGAAAAACCGGUGGUACCUACUGGGAUCUUGUACGGAACGAUGUUCUCCUCGGACAGCGCCUCCACAGCCUUGAGGGAAUCUUCUUCUCUGCGCAACAACCGUGCCGAUUAAUGGUUCUGGACCGACUUUGUGAUCCGCGUCGCGGUUUUCCGCGAGCUCGGAACGAAAACGGUUCUCGUCCGACUCUUUUUAACUCUUUUCACGAAAGGCCAGCGCCUCCGAGCCGGUCCACGCGCGAAAGGGUCAUGUAACUGUCUUGAAACAAGUAUGAACCAAUUAACAUCGCUUGUACGAAGUGGGAAAGAUCCAAGAGGAGGCAGGUAAUUUCUUCGCUUAUCUCAGUCGAACGACGCUAACUUACCUCAGGACACCCAGAACGAAAUUAUUCCCCGCUCUCAUUAGUUCUUCGUGUGCCUGACCGUGGGUCAGGCUGCUGAUGGGCUGAUCGUUUAAUCUCACC